rnacentral:rRNA from 1 species
GACGAACGCUGGCGGCGUGCUUAACACAUGCAAGUCGAGCGGUAAGGCCCUUUCGGGGGUACACGAGCGGCGAACGGGUGAGUAACACGUGGGUGACCUGCCCUCAGCUCUGGGAUAAGCCUGGGAAACCGGGUCUAAUACUGGAUAUGACUCCAUGACGCAUGUUGUGGGGUGGAAAGCCUUGUGCGGCUGAGGAUGGGCCCGCGGCCUAUCAGCUUGUUGGUGGGGUGANGGCCUACCAAGGCGACGACGGGUAGCCGGCCUGAGAGGGCGACCGGCCACACUGGGACUGAGACACGGCCCAGACUCCUACGGGAGGCAGCAGUGGGGAAUCUUGCGCAAUGGGCGAAAGCCUGACGCAGCCGACGCCGCGUGAGGGAUGACGGCCUGGUG